GACGAACGCUGGCGGCGUGCUUAACACAUGCAAGUCGAACGGAAAGGCCCUGCUUUUGUGGGGUGCUCGAGUGGCGAACGGGUGAGUAACACGUGAGUAACCUGCCCUUGACUUUGUGAUAACUUCAGGAAACUGGGGCUAAUACCUGAUAGGAGCUCCUGCUGCCUGGUGGGGGUUGGAAAGUUUCGGCGGUUGGGGAUGGACUCGCGGCUUAUCAGCUUGUUGGUGGGGUAGUGGCUUACCAAGGCUUUGACGGGUAGCCGGCCUGAGAGGGUGACCGGCCACAUUGGGACUGAGAUACGGCCCAGACUCCUACGGGAGGCAGCAGUGGGGAAUAUUGCACAAUGGGCGGAAGCGUGAUGCAGCAACGCCGCGUGCGGGAUGACGGCCUUCGGGUUGUAAACCGCUUUCGCCUGUGACGAAGCGUGAGUGACGGUAAUGGGUAAAGAAGCACCGGCUAACUACGUG
rnacentral:rRNA from 1 species